UACAGAGACUGCAAGCGUUAUUCGGAUUCACUGGGCGUAAAGGGUGCGCAGGUGGCCAAGUGUGUUAGGCGUGAAAGCCCAGGGCUCAACCCUGGAAGUGCAUUCGAUACUGCGAAGCUUGAGUGUAGGAGAGGUUACUAGAAUUCUUGGUGUAGUGGUGAAAUACGUAGAUAUCAAGAGGAAUACCGGAGGCGAAGGCGGGUAACUGGCCUAACACUGACACUCAGACCCGAAAGCGUGGGGAUCAAACAGG
rnacentral:rRNA from 1 species